UACAGAGGUCUCGAGCGUUGUUCGGAUUCAUUGGGCGUAAAGGGCGCGUAGGCGGCGGGGUAAGUCUGGUGUGAAAUCUCGGAGCUCAACUCCGAAAUUGCACUGGAUACUGCUCUGCUAGAGGGCUGGAGAGGAGAUCGGAAUUCACGGUGUAGCAGUGAAAUGCGUAGAUAUCGUGAGGAAGACCAAUGGCGAAGGCGGAUCUCUGGACAGCUCCUGACGCUGAGGCGCGAAGGCUAGGGGAGCAAACGGG
rnacentral:rRNA from 1 species